ACCAUAUAAUGAUAACAUAGGACAGAGGAGAACAGACACAGCAGCAAGUCGCAUAAUCAAAAAAAGAAAACCAGACAGAGCUGUAGUGUCGUACGCGAUUAGGACUCUGAGCAGAGCUCGUCACCACUAGAGGCUUGACCCGUCGGCGAUUCUCGGCGUGACUCAGUUCCCCAAGUCCAGAAGGACCGUCUCGAGUUUCCAUCGGAGAUAUCACGGUGUUGUUGCACCCAAUCAAAAAUCAGGGAUACAAAACAGAGAAAUCGCUAGAGUAAGUAAUUAUGUAUGGCAUACACCAAGAGUACCGCUGCUUGAAGCAUUGGAGAUCUCAUGUUGCUCAAGGGUGGAUUAUCUUCAACUUCUUAAUCUUCCCAAGCUUAAGAAGGCAGAAUUUGACUCGUGUCUCACUAUUAAGAUUAAUGAAGCACCUAAUCUUCAUAUACUUUCUGGUACAGGUAUUGUUAGGAGUUUACUUUUGGAUAUGUCUACUUCAGAAAAUGUAAAGAAGCUGAAAAUUGGUUAUGUGGGCAUUUCUAGACAUUAUCUUGAAUAACUUAAUUCAAGAUUUCCUCUGCUUGAGACUUUGGAGAUGCAACCCUCAAACUUACCUGAGAUUAAAAUUUCACAUCAUCGACUUGAGAAGUUUAAAUUGUUUAUUAACGGAGACACCAUACUUCAGAUGGACUGCAAAAAUCUUAGUUCUUAUGCAUACCUUGGCACUCACAUCCCAUCCUUGUCAAUCAAUUCUUCUAGAUUACAGAAAUCCCAAAAUUUAAUAUCGAUCCAUUAUCCUCUAGACACUUCAUGGUUUCUGAAAUUAAGACAAUAUCUAGGAAACUUCAAGCAAACAGUUCUAUCCUUGAGGAUUGAUGAGUCUCCCACGGUAAACCUACAAAUAAAGUUUAUCAUUUUAUUAUUAUAAUUUUUUUAAUUUUGCUAACCUAAAGCUUAUUGAUUUAAUUUCUUGAUUUUAAUUUUUACAUGCCGGUAUCAUACUUGUCUUGUUCUAAUUAUGUACUUUUUUAGGACUAUUAAUUGUCACUUAAUUGAUAGAAUAUUAAUAUUCUUUCAUUUCUUUUCUUAAGGAGAGUUUGCAGGUUAAUUUUUUCCAAAUCUUCAUUCAUUCUAGAAAACCAUUUCCGUAAAUAGUUCAAGAUAUUUGAGUAUAAUUUAACAUAUAUCUUUUGAAUACAUAUAUCACCUUUACUACAGAGCAGUUAAGUGAACACUCAAUUCCUCCUCGCUCGAAUCUCAACCUCUUGAGUUUGUUAAAAAUUUUCCACCUUCAGAAGAUUAUAGAGCUCUUAUAGAUGGCUUGUUAUGGAGUACUCAUCCAGAAAGCCUAUCAGUAUCAUGUGUGCAACCAAACAGACCAUUCAUUAAUUUCCUACACAAGAACCUUCUAAUGGUUGAAGAAGAAGUUGCAGUGACCGUCAAAUCAAUGUUGUCAGCAUGACUUAAAGGGGAUUAAAUCAAGAUACUUCGACGGGGAAAAAUAUGUAAAUUAUCCUCACCUUCAAGAAUCAUAUUAUUCCUUGCAAGGUAGUACAGCACCAAAGGAAAUUGGAUUUGAUUUAUUUUGGGUGAUUGAAAUUUAUGAAUAGGGUAAAAGUGAAUAUCUCAGUGAGAAAAAGUACUUUGAUUCAAGAUGAUGGAAUGAAGAAAGAGGAAGACAUAUGUUUAUGUUAAUCAAGGAGGUGACAAUAUAGUUUUCGAAUGCAUGGAAUGAAUUAAAAAGCAUUCUAGUGGUCCAGUUAUCCAAAGUAUUUUGAGAUUAAAUUUUUGUUGUUGAUGGUGGAGGUGGUAAUA